UAAAGGAAGGGAAAAGAGAAAGGAAGGAUGUUGUUUAUUUAUAGCAUCUCUUUAUAUCAUUGUGCCUCUGCAUGCAGAGUCUUUGUUCUGCUACAUCUUAAGCAUUUGUUCUUGAAGAGACUCAUGUAUGGAAUGCUGUUGGAAAAACAGGAGACUCAAAGCACUGAAGGCAACGAGGAGGUUUUUAAGAACAAUAAAAGGAGAUGCAAACAAGCAAAUGGCAAACUGAAAUAGACAUCUCAAAAGUUAUAAUUGAUGGAGAUAUUUUUCCAUGAAACAUCUCCCUAAAUCGCUCCACUGAUGGAGUCAUGGUGGAAUAUUAAGAGCUUGCCAACAAAAUGACUCAACUGAAAGCAUAUAAAGAGAUUUAGAAGUGGAUAUUUAAAGGCAGUUUAAAUGCGUAAAAGGGGACCUUUGAUGAGCACAUAUUGUUUUCAGCUGCUAUGGAGGAGCUGCCUGGCUGACAGGUCACUUC